UUACCAGGCCUUGACAUGCAGAGAACUUUCCAGAGAUGGAUUGGUGCCUUCGGGAACUCUGACACAGGUGCUGCAUGGCUGUCGUCAGCUCGUGUCGUGACGAUGUUGGGUUAAGUCCCGUUAACGAGCGCAACCCUUGUCCUUAGUUACCAGCACGUUAUGGUGGGCACUCUAAGGAGACUGCCGGUGACUAAACCGGAGGAAGUGGGGAUGACGUCAAGUCAUCAUGGCCCUUACGGCCUGGGCUACACACGUGCUACAAUGGUCGGUACAAAGGGUUGCCAAGCCGCGAGGUGGAGCUAAUCCCAUAAAACCGAUCGUAGUCCGGAUCGCAGUCUGCAACUCGACUGCGUGAAGUCGGAAUCGCUAGUAAUCGUGAAUCAGAAUGUCACGGUGAAUACGUUCCCGGGCCUU
rnacentral:rRNA from 1 species